GACGAACGCUGGCGGCGUGCUUAACACAUGCAAGUCGAACGCUGAAGCUCAGCUUUUGUUGGGUGGAUGAGUGGCGAACGGGUGAGUAACACGUGAGUAACCUGCCCCCUUCUUUGGGAUAACGCCCGGAAACGGGUGCUAAUACUGGAUAUUCACUGGUCUUCGCAUGGGGGUUGGUGGAAAGGGUUUUUCUGGUGGGGGAUGGGCUCGCGGCCUAUCAGCUUGUUGGUGGGGUGAUGGCCUACCAAGGCUUUGACGGGUAGCCGGCCUGAGAGGGUGACCGGUCACAUUGGGACUGAGAUACGGCCCAGACUCCUACGGGAGGCAGCAGUGGGGAGUAUUGCACAAUGGGCGCAAGCCUGAUGCAGCGACGCCGCGUGAGGGAUGGAGGCCUUCGGGUUGUGAACCUCUUUCGCUCAUGGUCAAGCCGCAACAAUGGUUGUGGUGAGGGUAGUGGGUAAAGAAGCGCCGGCUAACUACGUG
rnacentral:rRNA from 1 species